AAACCCUACAAUUCUUUUUAUUUUUUUUAUAUUUUUCUCUUACUUAGGAGCACUCAAUAAGUAAGCACAGGAAAUUUGAGCUUAUACAAGUGAAAGACGUGGCCUGUGGAAAUUUUUGAAGAUUGCAAAAAAUAUGAAAAAAAACUUUAGGAGGUGAAAACUCAAACUUCAGAGGCGAAUUUGGGGAUUCUAAAAUUGUCAAAGCUUCUCUUGGCGGGGAU
rnacentral:lncRNA from 1 species